UGCUUGAACCAGGGAGGCGGAGGUUGCAAUGAGCUGAGAUUGCACCACUGCACUACAGCCUGGGAGAAAGAGCAAGACCCUGUCUCCAAAAAAAAAGAAUAAAGCAUGGCAAAGUACAAUCUGAAUCUGGAACUUUGCUCUUAGCCCCACUAAUGAACUUUGGUCCUGCAAAUAAUACAGAACAGAGUUGACUGCACUGCACCUAGAUAAAGAGGCAAUGAUUGCUUCACAAUCCUUUAAUUAAAACUGCUUUUGUAUUUUUCAUUUUGUAAAUUAUACUUAUUUCUAUCAAAUUUUCUUUUGUGUUCCCUUUCCCAUAUUCUUUCUGUCAUGUGACUUGGAAAUAUUAGAAAUCCAUGACUCCUCCCCACCUCAAUGGUCAGUGAGUGUCUUAUUCUUCUUGACUGUAUAUCUAAAAUAGCUCUGUCAUCACCCUUCUGUUUCCAAAACUCUGCCCUGGUGCUGGUGCAGGCCCUCCUGAGAAUCUCUUGCUAGCUAAGACAUCAUGUCCAAGCAGGCCUCCCGGACUCCGGUCUUGACCUUCUUCAAUCUGUCUUCAAUAUCACCACCAGAAUUCAGCUUCUAAAGUGUAGGUUUCUUUUAUCAUGGCAAAAUAUACUUAUCAUAAAAUUUGCCAUUUUAGGCCAGGCACAGUGGUUCAUGCCUGUAAUCCUAACACUUUGGGAAGAUAAGGGAAGAGGAUCGCUUAAGUCCAGGAGUUCAAGACCAGCCUGGGCGACAAAGUGAGACCCCAUCUCUACAAAAAAAAAAAAAAAAUGUUUUUGAGAUGGAGUCUUGCUCUGUCACCCAGGCUGGAGCGCGAGAGUACAAUGGCCUGUUCCCGGCUCACUGCAAACUCUGCCUCUUGGGU
rnacentral:lncRNA from 10 species